rnacentral:rRNA from 1 species
UACGUAGGGUGCAAGCGUUGUCCGGAAUUAUUGGGCGUAAAGAGCUUGUAGGCGGUUUGUCGCGUCUGCUGUGAAAUUUCGGGGCUCAACCCCGAACUUGCAGUGGGUUCGGGCAGACUAGAGUGUGGUAGGGGAGACUGGAAUUCCUGGUGUAGCGGUGAAAUGCGCAGAUAUCAGGAGGAACACCGAUGGCGAAGGCAGGUCUCUGGGCCAUAACUGACGCUGAGAAGCGAAAGCAUGGGGAGCGAACAGG